rnacentral:sRNA from 1 species
GCCAGGUAGGUGGCGCAUGCCUGUAAUCCCUGCGACUCAGGAGGCUGAGACAGGAGGAUCAAGAGUUCAAAGCCAUCCUCAGCAAAAGCAAGGUGCUAAGCAACUCGGUGAGACUCUGUCUCUA